ensembl:lncRNA novel transcript, antisense to OR10AD1
GGGUAGUUUGCAAGUGCGUCGCGGAGCCGGCCUCGGAAAUAUGGCGACAGCUUCAGCUUUCAGUGUGAGGGAGCCGAGGGCCCAGCCAAACCCUGCGGGAGGCAAUUCCUGGAAUUUAUAGAGACAGGUACUCACUAUGUCACCUGUGCUGGUCUUGAACUUCUGGCUUUAAGUGAUUCUCCUGCCUUGGCCUCCCAAAGUGCUGGGAUUACAGAUGCCAGCAGGAGCAUAUCACUGUGACUUACAACCCUUCUCUAGUCUGCUACAAUGGAAUCUUAAACAAGAAAAUUUUAUAUUUUGACUUGCAUCAUUGAGAAAAACACUGCCAACCUGAUCGUGGUUCCUUUGAAGAGCAUGGAAGGAAGCAAUGAAAAAAGCCUCACUCCUGGUUGCACACCUGGGAUUCUGUACCUGACGGACACCAUCCAUCCUUUUAGAUGAUGCAUUGAGUCCUAACUAUUCCCUUCCCAAGAAAGUUCAAGCCAGGAGAUCAAUCUGCUUGGGAUGGAAAGCUUAAAUCAAGAAUAAUUAGAAACCCUGAACAGAACAAUAACAAGCAGCAAGAUUGAAAUGGUAAUACAAAAGUUACCAAGGAAAAAAAAGUCCAGGACCAGAUGUAUUCACGGCUAAAUUCUAUCAGACAUUCAAAGAAUUGGUAACAAUCCAAUUGACAUUAUUCCACAAGGUAGAGAAAGAGGGAAUCCUUCCUAAAUUAUUCUAUGAAGCCACUAUCACCCUAAUACCAAAACCAGGAAAGGACAUGACAAAAAAGAAAACUACAGACCAAUAUCCCUGAUGAACACAGAUGCAAAAAUUCUUAACAAAAUACUAGCUAACUGAAUCCAACAGCAUAUCAAAAAGAUAAUCCAGCAUGAUCGAGUGGGUUGCAUGCCAGGGAUGCAGGGAUGGUUUAACAUACACAAGUCAAUAAAUGUGAUAUGCCGCAUAAACAGAAUUAAAAACAAAAAUCACAUGAUCAUCUCAAUAGAUGCAGAAGAAGCAUUUGACAAAAUCCAGCGUCUCUUUAUGAUUAAAACCUUCAGCAAAAUUGGCAUACCAGGGACAUACCUCAAUGUAAUAAAAGCCAUCUAUGACAAACUCACAGCCAACAUAAUACUGAAUGGGGAAAAGUGGAAAGCAUUCCCUCUGAGAACUGGAACAAGACAAGGAUGCCCACUCUCACCACUUCUAUUCAACAUAGUACUGGAAGUCCUAGCCAGAGCAAUCAGACAAGAGAAGGAAAUAAAGGGCAUCCAAAUUGGUAAAGAGUCAAACUGUCGCUGUUUGCUGAUGAUAUGAUCAUAUGCCUAGAAAACCCUAAAAACUCAUCCAGAAAGCUCCUAGAACUUAUAAAUAAAUUCAGCAAAGUUUUAAGAUACAAAAUUAAUGUAUACAAAUCAGUAGCUCUGCUAUACACCAGCAGCAACCAAACUGAGAAUCAAAUUAAGAACUCAACCCCUUUUACAAUAGCCACAAAACAAACAAACAAACUUAGGAAUAUACCUAACCAAGGAGGUGAAAGACCUCUACAAGGAAAACUACAAAACACUGCUGAAAGAAAUCAUAGACACCACAAACAAAUGGAAACACAUCUCAUGCUCACGGAUGGGUAAAAUCAAUUAUUGUGAAAAUGACCAUUCUGCCAAAGGCAAUCUACAAAUUCAAUGCAAUUCCCAUCAAAAUAUCAUCAUCAUUCUUCACAGAACUAGAAAAAAAAUCCUAAAAUUCAUAUGGAACCAAAUAAGAGCCCAAAUAGCCAAAGCAAGCCUAAGCAAAAAGAACAAAUCUGGAGGCAUCACAUUACUGAUUUCAAACUAUACUAUAAGGCUAUAGUCACCAAAACAGUAUGGUACUGGUAUAAAAAUAGGCACAUCAACCAAUAGAACAGAAUAGAGAAUCCAGAAAUAAACCCAAAUACAUACAGCCAACUGAUCGUUGACAAAGCAAACAAAAACAUAAAAUGGGGAAAGGACACUCUUUUCAACAAAUGGUGCUGGGAUAAUUGGCUAGCCACAUGUAUGAGAAUGAAAUUGGAUCCCCGUCUCUCACCUUAUACAAAAAUCAACUCAAGAUGAAUGAAGGACUUAAAUCUAAGACCUGAAACUAUAAAAGUUCUAGCAGAUAACAUUGGACAAACACUCCUAGAGAUUGGUUUAGGCAAAUACUUCAUGACCAAGAACCCAAAAGCAAAUGCAACAAAAACAAAGAUGAAUAGCUCAGACUUACUAAAGAGCUUUUCCACAGCAAAAGGAAGAAUCAGCAGAGUAAACAGACAACCCACAGAGUGAGAGAAAAUCUUCAUAAUAAUACAUCUGACAAAGGGCUAAUAUCCAGAAUCUAUAAAGAACUCAAGCAAAUUAGCAGGAAAAAAUCAAACAGUCCCAUAAAAAAGUUGGCUUAAAAGAAGAUAUACAAAUGGCCAAAAAAUAUGAAAAACUGCUCAACAUCACCAAUGAUCAGAAAAAUGCAAAUCAAAACCACAGUGUGAUACCACCUUACUCCUGCAAGAAUAGCCAUAAUCAAAAAAUCAAAAAAGAAUAGAUGUUGGCAUGGAUGCUGUGAAAAGGGAACACUUCUACACUGCUGGUGGGAAUGUAAACUAGUACAACCUAUGGAAAACAGCAUGGAGAUUCCUUAAAGAACUAAUAGUAGAACUGCCAUUUGAUCCAGCAAUCCCACUAUUGGGUAUCUACCCAGAGGAAAAGAAGUCAUUAUACAAAAAAGAUACUUGCACACACAUGUUUAUAGCAGCACAAUUCGUAAUUUCAAGAAUAUGGAACCAGCCCAAAGGUCCCUCAUUCAAUGAGUGGAUGAAGAAGUUGUGAGAUAUAUAUACAUAUAUAUACGUAUAUAUAUAUGUAUAUAUAUGUGUAUAUAUAUACGUAUAUAUGUAUAUAUAUGUGUAUAUAUAUACGUAUAUAUACUUAUAUAUGUAUGUAUAUGUGUAUAUAUACGUAUAUAUACUUAUAUAUGUAUGUAUAUGUGUAUAUAUACAUAUAUACGUAUAUAUAUACACAUAUACAUAUAUAUAUAUAUAUAUAUAAAAUGGAAUACUACUCAGUCAUAAAAAGGAUUGAAUUAAUGGCAUUCAUAGCAACCUGGAUGGAACUGGAGACUAUUAUUCUAAGUAAAGUAACUCAGGAAUGGAAAACCACACAUUGUAUGUCCUGAGUCAUAAAUGGGAGCUAAGCUAUGAGGAUGCAAAGGCAUAAGAAUGAUACAAUAGACUUAGGGUACUCAGAGGAAAGAGUGGGUGGGGGUGAGGUAUAAAAGACUACAAAUAAGUGCAGUGUAUCCUGCUCAGGUGAUGAGUGCAUCAAAAUCUCACAAAUCACUACUAAAGAACUUACUCAUGUAACCAAGUACCACCUGUUC